rnacentral:tRNA from 1 species
GCCGGAGUGGCGGAAUCGGUAGACGCAGGGGAUUCAAAAUCCCCCGGGCGCCAGCCCGUGCGGGUUCGAGUCCCGCCUCCGGUACCA